rnacentral:rRNA from 1 species
AUUGAACGCUGGCGGCACGCCUUACACAUGCAAGUCGAACGGUAACAGGUCUUCGGAUGCUGACGAGUGGCGAACGGGUGAGUAAUACAUCGGAACGUGCCUAGUAGUGGGGAAUAACUACUCGAAAGAGUGGCUAAUACCGCAUGAGAUCUACGGAUGAAAGCAUGGGAUCGCAAGACCUUGCGCUACUAGAGCGGCCGAUGGCAGAUUAGGUAGUUGGUGGGAUAAAAGCUUACCAAGCCGACGAUCUGUAGCUGGUCUGAGAGGACGAUCAGCCACACUGGGACUGAGACACGGCCCAGACUCCUACGGGAGGCAGCAGUGGGGAAUUUUGGACAAUGGGCGCAAGCCUGAUCCAGCAAUGCCGCGUGCAGGAUGAAGGCCUUCGGGUUGUAAACUGCUUUUGUACGGAACGAAAAGCCCCGGGUUAAUACCCUGGGGUCAUGACGGUACCGUAAGAAUAAGCACCGGCUAACUACGUGCCAGCCGCCGCAGUAA